rnacentral:sRNA from 1 species
CUUGGGACCAAAUGGAAUAUUUCGAUAUUAUUUAGUUUCCUAUUUAAGCUUUAAAAAUAGGUGUAGCGAUAUGCAGUUGUCGGUUGAGCCACUCUAUGUUUUGUAGCCAAAUGAUUACUUUGAGUGCGAGUGUGGUAGCUGGAAAUGAAGACCAAUUCUGGCACACUCAAUAACAAAGCGAAAAAUGUUUUCAUGACAAAAACCGAGAGGCAAAAAAAAAAAUACAAGAACGCAAUCGAAAUCGAGUUUUAUUCUCAGGCCAUUUGCCAUUCCCAGAAUCCAAACUAACAACAUUGACUCAAGUCCCAAAAAAAAAAGAUGGAACUGAAACUAAACCCUCCCAAGCUAACUAAUCUUUUUUCAGGGAUUUCCUUUUUCCCCCUUUUACCCAUUUUACCAGUUUUGUGUGUGUGUUGCUGCCAAUCCGAGCGACCAAAACGAAAAUGUCAUCAUCAGCAGAGCUUCGGUCAGAGAAUAGUGGAGAAAGCAAACGGACUGGGAACUAUACACGUUUAUAUAUAUGUACAUACAUAUAUACUGCCACUCAACGUAACUUUUUAUGUGCAACAUAGCAGAAUGAUUGUGUUCCGUUCCAGAAAUAUCAGCACAACAAGCACGGCAACAACUCCGGCCACAGCAACAACAUCUUAAGCCGUUUCGCAUAAAAUUUCACACACCAUUUUAGCCAAGUGCCACAUUACCUGCACACAAGAUGGGACUCGACUCGCCCCCUGCCUCGAAUGUCCUGUGAACCAAACCAAACCAAACCAAGCCAAGCCGAGCCAAGCCAAGGAGAAAGAAAAAUAAAACGUUGGAAAAAUGCUGGAAAACACGAAACUGAACGUAAAAAAUACCUUUUGACACAUGCAAGCAGAACCAAAUGGGGGCGUGGCCAGAGCCAAAAGUGUUGGCCAGCUGAGCAGAGCGGGCGAAAAGGCUCAAAAUCGGCGGACAGGCAAGAACUGAAAUGGCGCCAGCCAAACGAGCUGAAAGGAAAAGGAAAAUCUUGAAAAUUGCAUUUUAAGAAGAACUUCGUGUGGCUAUCAGGAAAAAAUCUAUAAAAACACAUACCUAAACAUGUAAGGGCUUAUAUAGCCAUGUAUAUAUAUGUACAUACAUCUGUGGCAAAAUCCGACUGAAUGCAGACGAAAUGGAAAAAGGAUACAGGGAAGCUCAAUCUGGCAGUGACUUGGGGCCACAAUAGCCAUUCGGUUAUCCAGUCGGUCAGCAAAGCAUCCAGGACCAAUCCAAUACAAUUUUAACGGUAAUGUGGUCCAAAAGCAAGCGAUGGCGAAAUUGAUAUGGCCACCAAAAUGGUGAACAGUGAGCAUUCACAUUUAGCUGAGGUACAGAUGCAAACGAAAGCAUCACGUAUACGCCCCAUAAACAGUGACGCUAAAAGUAUCCGAAGGGCGGAAUGGCUCUGAAUGCCCUUGAAACAUUGUUCGAAUUUGCAUUUUAAAAAUAAAACAAAUAUAAAAACGGG